AUCCCUGGUUUGUCUUAGUAAGCAUUGAAGGUUAUAUGGUAGUUCAAAUUGCCUUGAAGAUAUGCAUAGACUUGCUGGUAAGGUUUGUAUCCCUGGGUUGUCUUAGUAAGCAUUGAAGGUUAUAAGAUAGUUCACAUUGCCUUGAAGAUAUGCAUAGACUUGCUGGUAAGGUUUGUAUCCCUGGGUUGUCUUAGUAAGUAUUGAAGGUUAUAAGAUAGUUCACAUUGCCUUGAAGAUAUGCAUAGACUUGCUGGUAAGAUUUGCAACAGUCAUUCUUGUGGGAUUGAAAUCAUAAGUUCUUCAUAACAAAAAAAGAUGUUUGUUUGUUAUUAUGAGAGAAACAGAAAUGGCAGUUUUUGUGUUAGGAAAUUAAGCCUGGUCAGUAUUCAACAAAGUGAGAGACUGGUCAAGCAAAACAGACUCGUAGAUAGAACAAACAAGAUGAAAUAUAACUGAAAAUACUUGAAAAUAAUAAUAAUAAAAUAUAUAUGAAAUUCAAAAUCAUAUACUUCAAUGAGAUCCGUGUGGCAAAUAUAAUAAUUACAGUAAUAAUGUAAGAUAAUUUGAUCUCUAUGUGACUGUACAAAUAUUAUAUCACUAUUAACAAGGAGAGAUGUUAUAGGUAUUUACAGCCAAGUACAAAACACUGAAAUGAACCCUAAAUUACAGUUAUAAAUAAAUAAAUAAACAUUAAAUAUAUAUAUAUAAAAUGGCAGUGAAUAUUGAGUAGCACAUCCUGAUAUUAUACAAAACAUCCUCACAUGUUGAUAGGCCUAAUCCCUCUCUUAGUUAUACAAAGAAGACAUUUAGGUAUAGAUUUUGCUCUUAAUAAAUUCUCGGAUGCAUGAAUCUCACAUAUUAAUAGGCCUAAUCCCUCUCUUAGUUAUACAAAGAAGACAUUUAGGUAUAGAUUUUGCUCUUAAUAAAUUCUCAGAUGCAUGAAUCUCACAUAUUAAUAGGCCUAAUCCCUCUCUUAGUUAUACAAAGAAGACAUUUAGGUAUAGAUUUUGCUUUUAAUAAAUUCUCGGAUGCAUGAAUCUCACAUAUUAAUAAACCUAAUCCCUCUCUUAUUUAUACAAAGAAGACAUUUAGGUAUAGAUUUUGCUCUUAAUAAAUUCUCGGAUGCAUGAAUCUCACAUAUUAAUAAACCUAAUCCCUCUCUUAGUUAUACAAAGAAGACAUUUAAGUAUAGAUUUUGCUCUUAAUAAAUUCUCGGAUGCAUGAAUCUCACAUGUUGAUAGGCCUAAUCCCUCUCUUAGUUAUACAAAGAAGACAUUUAAGUAUAGAUUUUGCUUUUAAUAAAUUCUCGGAUGCAUGAAUCUCACAUGUUGAUAGGCCUAAUCCCUCUCUUAGUUAUACAAAGAAGACUUUAAGUAUAGAUUUUGCUCUUAAUAAAUUCUCGGAUGCAUGAAUCUCACAUAUU